CAUUCCGAACCCGGAAGUUAAGCCCUUCAGCGCCGAUGGUACUGCAUGGGAGACUGUGUGGGAGAGUAGGACACCGCCGGAC
rnacentral:rRNA from 1 species